UACAGCUAACUCCAGUCAUGACACCACCAAACACGCACACAAGCCUCGCAAUCCUCCAAACGCAAAAGAACUUCAUCAAAAUCCGAUGUACGUACCAAACAUCCAACAGGCCAAUAAACUUUACGAGUAUUGUAAAAGUUUUCUCCGUGUUUUGGUGGUUUUCCUGUUUCUGGUGGGAACAAUCACCACGGGAGUCAACAUAGGUAUGCAAAAGACCAUGGAAGAAGUCAAGAACUCGAGUACACUGAAUGCAACAGAACUAAUAUAUGAAGCUACCAUCAGGACCACUGAAGGUACCCCCCCACCCAGCCUUGGUGGUAUCAAUGGUACCACCCCAUCCAGCCUUGGGACCACUGAUGGU